AUUGAACGCUGGCGGCAGGCCUAACACAUGCAAGUCGAACGAGUGGCGGACGGGUGAGUAAUGUCUGGGAAACUGCCCGCUGGAGGGGGAUAACUACUGGAAACAGUAGCUAAUACCGCAUACCAUCGGAUGUGCCCAGAUGGGAUGAGCUAGUCGGUGGGGUAACGGCUCACGUAGGCGACGAUCCCUAGCUGGUCUGAGAGGAUGACGAGCCAAACUGGAACGGGGACACGGUCCAGACUCCUACGGGAGGAAGCAGUGGGAAAUAUUGCACAAUGGGCGCAAGCCGGAGGCAGCCAUGCCGCGUGUAUGAAGAGGGCCUUCGGGUUGUAAAGUACUUUCAGCGAGGAGGCGUUACUCGCAGAAGAAGCACCGGCGAACGCCGGGCCAGCAGCCGCGGUAAUAC
rnacentral:rRNA from 1 species